rnacentral:rRNA from 1 species
AUGUCCAGCGACGACGAGCUCCGCGGCCUCCUGGUACAGGAAUCCACCACCGCGAUCGUCUCCGGCGCCGAUCCCUCCCGCCCCACGGCCCGAUCGGCCCACUUCCUUCUCCCCCGCGCGGGGGGCGCUCGCCUCCCUGCUCUGCCAUCCCCGCCCCGCAAUGCCGGCCCUGUUCUUGGCGACCAGCUCCCUGUCGAUUGGACGGCCUGGCCCGGCUCCUCGAAGCUGUGGAGGCGGUGGGUGGCCAGGCUUCGGCCGCGGCAUGAGCGCCUCUGGCGGAAGCUUGGGAUCUUGGACGCCGUCCUCGCGACCACCGGCUGGGUGCGGCGGGACGAGGGCCUGCUGCUCCAGCUUGCGGGUUUCUGGUCCGGCGAGACCAACACGUUCCUCUUCCCGUGGGGCGAGGCCACGGUGACGCUGGAGGACAUGGCCGUGCUCGGGGGCCUGCCCCUGCUGGGCAGGCCUGUGUGGUCGCGGCUCCCGGACGAGCUCCGCGGGGACGUGGACGCGCUCGAAGCCGCCCGGAUCGCGCUCAACAGAUGCACGAACAAGAAACCCUCGUUUGCCCCGUGGGUUAAGCAAUUCGUCGAGCGGCCGACAGGGGAGGUCGUUGCCGCCGGCAGAGGAGAGACCGAGGCGGCCACAUUGCUCGAGCACGGGGCGUUUCUGGCCAUGUGGUUGACCAGAUACGUGCUUCCGGCGCAGCCAUUCGACGUGGUCAGACCGGACGUGUUCCCCCUCGCCGCCGGGCUGGCACGCGGCAGGUGCUCGGCCCUCGCACCCGCCGUUCUUGCCAACAUCUACAAUGACCUCUCCGCACUCAGUCACCACUUAAGCUUGGGCACCAGCCAUCAGCCGUUCGUGGCGAGUGCGCCGCUGCACAUCCUCCAGCUAUGGGUCUGGGAGCGCUUCCCAGAGCUGCGUCCUGAGGCUGAGAUACCAAGCACUGCCUCCCACGGCGACGAUCCCGGCGUGCCGAGGGCCGCCAAGUGGCACAACAUCAGAAACCCGCUUGAUCAUGGCUACAUCCACGCCGUGCUCAUGUCCCCGGAGGAGUUCCAAUGGAGGCCUUACGGAGGCAGUAGCUUUGCUCUGCCACAAGGCAAAGAUGGCAAAGAUGGCUGCUGGGUGCUCUGCCAUGAUGUAGUAACAAGCAAGGAGCUGCAGUCCUUUGCGCAGUGUCUGCUACCUUGCGAGCUCGUCGGCAUGCAAUGCAUCGAGCACUACUGUCCGCACCGCGUCGCAAGGCAGCUCGGCUUCGAUCAGGACGUACCCGGGACUAUCGCCCGUGCCAAUUCAUGCCGAAAGACCGCAUGGGCGACUUACAGGAUGCGGCCUGAAGACGUUUCGUUCUUCGUUCCACGACGUGAUCCGGGCAUGACGGUUGAAUACGCGCAAUGGUGGAAGCCUUACUCGUCGGCAUGUGCUGUUGCUGUUGCUAAUGCUGAAAGGAUGAAACAACUUCAUGCUGCAGCUAUUAGCCCAAGAACGACGAAAGCUGAUGGUUAUGAGCUUGCUAAUAAUGUCCAAAGUGAUACACCUCCCAGUCAAGGAGCAGUUAAUAAAGUAACUCAUGUCACUAGUGUUCAUGUCUUAGAAGGAUCCACUGAUGAUGAAAUGCAGACACACAAUGUCACAGAACAGAAAGAUCAGAGAGCGAAGGUGGAUACAGAAAGCUCUAGUGUUUCGGAAGGAAACAAUGAUGAUGCAUCUUCUGAUGGUGUAGUAUACGGAAAUAAUGUACUGGUCAAGAGAGUAAUUUCUACUAAAACACUCUACUAUCUUCGACCAUUCGAGCGGGUGAAAGGUGCCCAGGUCAGAGAUUCAAGAGCCACCAAUGCAGGUCAAGUGAUUCUCCAACCAGGACGGGAAGUCGGAACAACGGAAAUGAUUAGAGAGGCGUCUGAAGCACGAGAAGCGGAAAAGGUUGAGUUGGAAACGAUAAUCGAUCGUCUCAAGGAACAAGUUGUCGCGCUAGAGAUGCAGUUGCGGGACAGGAGAACUUCUAAAAUUUGA